CAAGAGCCUGGCACGCAGCAGAAGUCAAGUUGCCGAUGUAAAGACUCUGCCGGAAGCUCAGUAUAUAGAGGUACUUGAGAUUAGGCCCCAAAGGCACAGAAAACACAGUUGCUAUGGAGACACA